rnacentral:lncRNA from 10 species
GACAGAGUCUCGCUUUGUCACCAAAGCUGGAGUGCAGUGGCCUGAUCUUGGCUCACUGCAACCUCCACCUCCCGGGUUCAAGUGAUUCUCCUGCCUCAGCCUCCUGAAUAGCUGGGACCACAGGCACACGCCACCACGCCCGGCUAAUUUUUAUAUUUUUAGUAGAGAUGGGGUUAGUAGAGAUAUAGUAUGUUGGUCAGGUUGGUCUUGAACUCCUGACCCUGUGAUCCACCUGCCUCGGCCUCCCAAAGUGCUGGGAUUACAGCGCGCCACAACGCCCGACUAAUAGAAGCCUCUGGAGCCCCUUCCACGUGCACGGUGGUGUGGGAGAGACACGAACAGCAGACAUGCAUCCAGUGCUCAGACCUGCCUGCCGGGAGGCAGAAGAGAGCAGGCCACAAGAAUAGGCCGGGCCUGGUGGCUUUCACCUCUAAUGCCAGCACUUUGGGAGGCCCUGGCGGGAGGAUUGCUUAAUGCCAGGAGUUUGAGACUAUCCUGGGCAACACAGCGAGACCCUAUCUGUAAAAAAAAAAAAACAAAAAAUAAAAAAAUUAGUUGGAUGUGGUGGUAAACGCCUGUAGUCCCAGCUGCCCAAAAGGCUGAGGCAGGAAGAUCCCUUGAAUCCGGGAGUUUGAGAGUACACUGAGCUAUGCUCACACCACUGCGCUCCAGCCUGGGUAACAGAGUGAGACCCUGUCUCUAAACAGACAAAAAAAAGAAUGAGACAGGUAGUAGUUGCCGUAGAAGGUGGAAGGUGGAACCCACAGCCGGGAGCUAACUGGGUAAUUAACGUGAAUUGUAGCUGGUCACAUCCAGUUUUUUUUUUUUCUUUUUGAGACGGAGUCUCACUCUGUCGCCCAGGCUGGAGUGCAGUGGUGUGAUCUCAGUUCACUGCAACCUCUGCCUCCUGGGUUCAAGUGAUUCUCCUGCCUCAGCCUCCCGAGUAGCUGGGAUUAUAGUGCGCCACCAUGCCUGACUAAUUUUUCUAUUUUUAGUAGAGAUGGGGUUUCACCAUGUUAGCCAGGCUGGUCUCCAACUGCUGACCUCAAGUGAUCUGCCCGCCUUGACUCCCAAAGUGCUGGGAUUACAGGCGUGAGCCACUGCACCCAGCUGGGUGACUUUUUUUAUUGCCUCUCUGAGAAGGUUAAGCCUGCCUCUGAAUUAUUGUCAGGAAAACAGUGUCAUCAGGUCAGUUCUCCAGCAAAAAAUCUUUCCUCCCAGUUAUCGGGAGGAAAUGAUCUACUUGAAUGAUACUAAAGAUAGAAUCUGUUGUUUUUGGCGACCUUAUGAGCACAUUUCAAUCCUAAUCCAAAGGAUUUUCAUUGAACUAGUUCACUAAUAAUCUGGCCAACGAGGAAGACAAAAAGGGCUGACCCUAAAAAGACAAUUCCCAUCCAAGCAGAGAGAGAGAUGGAGUUACUCACGCCAAGUCAGAAAGUCAUUUUCGGGGGCAUUUGGAAAUCUUUGGAGUGAACUUCCCGAUGCUAUGAACAUUGUUUGAGACCCUGGAGACACUGCCUGUGUCACUGUGGGUUUCCCAGCUUCCAGCCGGGGAACUCCAGACUCCAGCCGGGGACAGCUGGGUGUGGAGGAGCGGAUGUGGAGGCAACGCCAGCAGCACAAACAGCAGCUCUCCUCCCGGCCGGCAGACACAUGGAAGGACAGCCUCUUUCAGCCUCAUUCAGCCGCGAGCCAGAAAUGCUCCAAUUGUUCAGAAGACCCUGGGCGACUCAGCACCGGAUAUGAGCGCACAUUCUGCCAGGAGGACGUUGUCAGGAGCCACGCGUGGCUCAUCUGUUUUUGACACAGAGGGGAUAUUGAUGACCAGCCACUGAUUUCAGAAGACAGAGAAGGGGUGCUUUCCUCUCUGGAAGGAGGGGAAACUUCAAAGCAAACAAUGCUCCAAAGAAGAAAGGAAUCGGUUGUUCUAGAACUAAAGAAGGGAAAUGACAAUCCGUCUCUUUAGACCUUAGAGAAA